GGGAACCCAGGACCUAGAUGUCCUUAGCUCCAAGUCCUGCUGGCACAGAAAAGGGAGGCGGGGCCACAGCUUAUGCUGGGUCUCCGAUUCCUCUGGGGCAACCCAGGCCGGACACAGGGCCAGUCCCUCCCUCCAGACGAAGACCAGACAGGGGCAGCCGGGAGGGGCGAGGGUCCCCGGGGGCAUCAAGUGAGGCAGCUCCACCCCUCCCCCCUGACCUCCUGCAAGACCCAGAACCAAUCCCCACGUCCCCCUCUCGCCGGAGCCCCUAGAGCCCCAGCCCUGGGUGAGGGUACAUGUCGGCCCGAUCGCGGUCCCCAGAACCCCAAAUGGAGGCCAAGGCUAGAGGGUGAUAGGAAGAGGAACGGCCAGGCGUGGAGAGGGCCCCUGGCGCAGCGCGCGGAUUACCUUCUGUGACCCUCUCCCCCACCCCCCACAACCUGCUCCCAGAUGGGUAUUGGAAGAGUGACGUGAGAAGGGCAGAGAUCUCCAUGUACCUGUGGAAAAGGUGAUUGUUGACCUUGAUCUUGGAGCUGGCCUUAAAGUCAUCUGGCAGCAGCAUCACUGGGGGAGGCACCUGGCUGAGCUCAUUGAUCUGAUAAGCAAAAACAAGAAUAGGGAGUCAGUGAGUAGGGUGUGGAGAGCUACUUCUACACCGUGUCUGGGUAAGAGUCAGAAAAGGGCAACUCAAACCUCAUUCGUUUAAAAACCCUGGUUAUGCAACUACUUGCCAGAGGUGAGAGAAUGCGUCUGACCUCUGCUGCUGCCCAGCAAGGACUGCAGUAAGCAACCCCCGCACACAGCCCCUCACAUUCCACCCCCGUGGAACUUCAUGCUCACAGCAGUCAUCUUAUAUUAGGCAAACCCUGUAAGCAGCUCAGGCCUAUUUUUAAAGCUGUGAGAAGUUCUACAGAAAAAAAAAAUACCCUCAGCAGACUCAAGACAAA